ensembl:misc_RNA Y_RNA Y RNA
AGCUGGUACAAUGGUAGUGGGUUAUCAGAACUUAUUAACAUUAGUGUUUCAUGAAAGUUUUUGUACCACCUCCCACUGCUAAAUUUGACUGGCUUAUU